GCGGUAAAAUGGCUGAAAAUUAGGCGAUAAAUUGUAAAUUUAUUUAUGAAACUAGUUCUUUUACUA
rnacentral:tRNA from 1 species